GCUGGGUUCCUUCCCUGUUGGUUGUUGGCCUGAGGCGACCCAACACUGGAGCCUACCCGGGCUCUUUGGUGGAGCUAAUGGCGGACUCUGGGAGGGCUCACGCCAAGGAGCACUUCCCAGAACUUCUCCUGCCAGUGUCCUUGUCCUCACGGUGAGACACAGCCACCCCCUGACUCUGCAGGAGACCCUCCAACACUUGCAGGGAAAUGCCAGUCUUCCAAUUGCUCAACCAAAAGCCAUGGAGUAUCCUCGACCUCUUUAUCUCUCAUACCAUUCAUGCUACGACCCUGGGCCAUGCGCUGUCAUCGUUCACCAGGAGUUUUGCAGUUGCCUUCCAACUCACCUCUCUUCGCCCACGCCUGCUCCCCUGUAGCCUGUUUCCCACCAGCAGCUGUACUGGGACUUUUAAAAUAGCAUCCUUGAAAGGAACUAGGUGUGGAGGAAAUCUGAACUACUGAGCUUCACACCACAAAGAGGAUGAGUGAUUAAAACCAAGAAACAAACAACCCAGCAAAAUAAACUAUG